rnacentral:snRNA from 1 species
AUACCUUUCUCGGCCUUUUGGCUAAGAUCAAGUGUAGUAUCUGUUCUUAUCAGUUUAAUAUUUGAUAUUGUGAGCCAUUGGCUCACACGAUAUUAACUCAAUAUUUUGAGGGGAAGGUCCAUUAGAGUAGCUUGCUACUCGGGCCUUCAUGUGUCGCCUAGGCGUUGCACUAGAGCCUAGGCCUGGCGCACCCUGC